AGUGAACGCUGGCGGCAGGCCUAACACAUGCAAGUCGAGCGGCAGCGCGGGGGCAACCCUGGCGGCGAGCGGCGGACGGGUGAGGAAUGCAUCGGAAUCUACCUCGUUGUGGGGGAUAACCUCGGGAAACCGGGACUAAUACCGCAUACGACCUACGGGUGAAAGUGGGGGACCUUCGGGCCUCACGCGAUGAGAUGAGCCGAUGCCGGAUUAGCUAGUUGGCGGGGUAAAGGCCCACCAAGGCGACGAUCCGUAGCUGGUCUGAGAGGAUGAUCAGCCACACUGGAACUGAGACACGGUCCAGACUCCUACGGGAGGCAGCAGUGGGGAAUAUUGGACAAUGGGCGCAAGCCUGAUCCAGCCAUGCCGCGUGUGUGAAGAAGGCCUUCGGGUUGUAAAGCACUUUUGUUGGGGAAGAAACCGGUCGGAUUAAUACUUCGGCUGAAUGACGGUACCCAAAGAAUAAGCACCGGCUAACUUCGUG
rnacentral:rRNA from 1 species